AUGAAUGGGUACAUGUCACUCCAGGAAAUAGGUUUCCCUAUUGUACUAGCUUGGGGACUGACGGACAGCAGGUAUCUUAACAAGUUUUCUGUCCUGAAAACAUGUGAGCUUUCUCUGUUUCUAAUUCAAUUUUUUUUUUUCCAGGGCGCAUGUGAGAGUGGAGCUGGAGAGAGAGCAGUCCCUAGAAAAAGAGUGGGGAUAGAAAGACUGCAUCUACUGAUUGCUUGGUACCUAAACAGCCAUGCAUACCGGCCAAACCGUCUUAGGUGGCAGAUGCUGGGGAGAAAUUGUGUCUGCUGCUACCUCUGUUCUUCACAUCUUCUAAGGAAACAACAUUUCAACUUUCUGUGCUGUUAGUCCACAAAGCAGCUGAAGAUUUUUUCCAUGAAAAUGUUUGGGAAAAAUGGAAUCUCACAAGAUCUACUUUAUAUGUAUUAACAUAUAUUACAUGUCGGUAUGUAAUAUAGCUUGAAACUACAAUAUUAAAUAUUAUAGCACUAAGAAAGUCAGAGUUGUGUUAGGAAACCACACAUACAUACACACAGAGACCUGACUGGAAUCCACAUCACAAGAAAGUUUAAAACAUUUACCUAGGAAUCUUGGAGAAAAAAAUGAGACAUGGUUGUUUUGUUUGUUUGUUUUGUUUGUUUGUUUAUUGCUAUGGAGAUAUAAUCAUUUUUUAAAGCUUUCAUUUAGCCAUGUAUGUAACGAGCAGGGGACAGGUCAGACAGUGAGAGAAAAAGAGAGAGAAAAAACUGUAAAGCAUGUGAAGAGUAAUAAAUGCUCUGAAAAAAAAUAAUAAAAUAUCGAA
rnacentral:lncRNA from 1 species